UGGGGAAUAUUGCACAAUGGGCGAAAGCCUGAUGCAGCGACGCCGCGUGAGGGACGACGGCCUUCGGGUUGUAAACCUCUUUCAGCAGGGACGAAGCGCAAGUGACGGUACCUGCAGAAGAAGCACCGGCUAACUACGUGCCAGCAGCCGCGGUAAUACGUAGGGUGCAAGCGUUGUCCGGAAUUACUGGGCGUAAAGAGUUCGUAGGCGGUUUGUCACGUCGUUUGUGAAAACUCACAGCUCAACUGUGAGCCUGCAGGCGAUACGGGCAGACUUGAGUACUGCAGGGGAGACUGGAAUUCCUGGUGUAGCGGUGAAAUGCGCAGAUAUCAGGAGGAACACCGGUGGCGAAGGCGGGUCUCUGGGCAGUAACUGACGCUGAGGAACGAAAGCGUGGGUAGCGAACA
rnacentral:rRNA from 1 species